GACGAACGCUGGCGGCGUGCCUAACACAUGCAAGUCGAACGGAACUGUUUUGAAAGAUUUCUUCGGAAUGAAUUUGAUUUAGUUUAGUGGCGGACUGGUGAGUAACGCGUGAGUAACCUGCCUUCAAGAGGGGAAUAACAUUCUGAAAAGAAUGCUAAUACCGCAUGACAUAUCGGAACCACAUGGUUUUGAUAUCAAAGAUUUUAUCGCUUGAAGAUGGACUCGCGUCCGAUUAGUUAGUUGGUGAGGUAACGGCUCACCAAGACCGCGAUCGGUAGCCGGACUGAGAGGUUGAACGGCCACAUUGGGACUGAGACACGGCCCAGACUCCUACGGGAGAGAGCAGUGGGGGAUAUUGCGCAAUGGGGGCAACCCUGACGCAGCAACGCCGCGUGAAGGAGGAAGGUUGUCGGAUUGUAAACUUCUUUUAUUAAGGACGAAAAAUGACGGUACUUAAUGAAUAAGCUCCGGCUAACUACGUG
rnacentral:rRNA from 1 species